AAAAUGAGAAAUCAAUUUUUCUAGAAAAUCUUUUUCUAAUUGUUUUUCAAGCCAACUAUUGAUAUUUUUUUAUAAAUUAUGUACAACUUUGAUUGUUUAAUGCAAUUGUAGGUAUUUAAUUGCCGUUGCUUGCGUUAAUAUUUAUUUUAACUUAUGAAAUAGUUGUUUUUAUUAAUAUUUUGCGUUUUUGCUUUGCUGGUCCUUGUGUUGCUUUAUGAAUUGUUUAAUCAAAAUGAUGGCAAAACUACUAAAAUUGUGGAAAAUAAAAAGAUUGGAUUUCCGUCCGCUCAAAAGUUAAUCAAAAUCUCAAUCAACUAAGAAAAAUCGAGUUAAAUCCAGCUUGAAAGGAAAUCAAAGCUCAACUUUUCUUUUUUGUACUAAAAAUCUUUUCACUCGCUGUAACCUUAUUAAGUAAUCGUUCAAUUCAACAGCGCAUUCUUUUCAUCGUAACCAUCAUCAUCAUUGUCUUCAUCAUCACCUUAUUGUAAUUUAAUCUGUGUUCAUUGAAAGGUUCAAUUAUGAAGUCAACAUUUUUCUCCUCAUUGUUAAUAUAAACUCAUUUAAUGCUGCUUUAGCUGAUUAACUUUUACAAGAAAUUUAGUAUCAAUGCAAGGUACUCAUCAUCCAGUAAUCUUAUGGUUGGUUGUUGAUAACUAGCGAGGAAGCAAUAAAUGACCAUCUCAAACUGAGAGCCAAGCCAAAAGUUCACAGCCAAAAACGAUGACCCAAAGCGAGAGGAAAAACAAAAUCAUUAUGAAUUCAUGUUUUUAGAAAGAUAAAGAUAGUCACAGUACAAUGAUACUUCCGGCUGAUUUUGAUUAUUCACAUGAAAAAAAUUGAUCGUCAUAAAGAUUUUGAUCUCACAUUAUAACAAGCUGAUUAUUGUUUUAAGGAAAUCCAUAAAAAAAGCUGUGAAAAAAGCGGUGAUCUUAUUACCUUAUCAAUAGAUUUAAAGGCAAUUACUGUGACCGGAUUGGGAGAUUACUUAAUUUGGCCAAUUAACCCAAUGGUUUUUGAUUCUGGUUUCAUCAAUUCUAAUUAUUAGACAAAUUGGUCAAGCUUAAGCAAACUGCCAGCUCAAAUAGCUUACAAGCUCUUAACCUAAAUAAUGUAAAGUAUUUGAUUGCGGAUUAUUUCUUGGUGUUCCCUUCAAUUUAAUCAAUGAGUUUGACCAAGUACCAACAUAAACUUGAUUCAGAGUAAACAUUGAUUUUAAUCACUUUUACAACUUCGUAACUCAACUCAACAACAAGUCAAUCAAUUGGAAUGGCAAAGUUCCCUCGAAUCCAUCGACAAAUCAACCAAAAAACCAUCCUACAUCUAAAUAUUAUUUCAUUUCCAAGGUUUGAAUGAAACUCUAAGCUAACCUCACCAACGAGCCGAUGUUAAACAGAUGUUGGCUGCAAUCACAAUUGUGCUUUCUCAUCUCAAGGGUUAAAUAACGAUGAUUCAAGUCUCCAACAUUAGCGGAACCCAAAAUUAAAUCAAUACCAACCUCCACUCAUACAUAAACAAAGAGACGAGUUGGGUUUGGAAAUAAGUUGAAUUGAUUUAAAAUGAACCUCUUUAGUUGUCACCUUAAUUGUUGAUCACUUUAAAAGGUAACCACAAGGUUGAAUGAUUAGGCGAAAAAAGGUUGAAAAAAUUGUCAUCAUGAUCAACAAUUAUUGGAAAAGUUAUUUAAGAAAUGCUCAAUGAAAAACAAAUCUCAUUGUAAAUUGUAAAUCUUUAUUUAUUUGGCAGCAAUUUAACUUUUAGUCUAACAAAUUCAAUCAAGUCAGAAGUUUAUCAAUUCAAUCUUAAUUGAUCUAAGGCAUUAAAUUGUCAGAUUAAGUUGUAAAAGUUCAGUGAAUCGAGACAAUUUGAAUCGCCAUUUUUACCUUGCAUUUCUCAAGACUCUUUGUGCAUUUGGUGAUUAACCAGUCUGGUUAUAAAACAUUUCAAAACAAACCCAAUUCAACCGGAUUAACGUUGAAAAUGUUAAUUUACUUGACAACAAUUUAAAUUGAAUUCAAUUUGCAAGUGCAAAUCAUUUGCUUCUAUUAAUAGUAAAUUGUUGUUAUUGGACAGUAAAAAGACAUUUAUUUAAUUUGAUUAAUCUCAAUUAAUUGAAACUUUAUUACCUUUAAGAGUAAAAGUGUUUCCUUAAUAUAUUUUUUUUGCUCCUUUGAAGCAUCAAGAGUCAACCAUAUUGGUUAACAUUUGAAAAUACCUAAUGGAAGCUUUAAAAGGUAAUAUUACACCUUUUUUAUUAGCCAUUAAAUCUGAUCUUCGUUUAAUAUUUUUA